rnacentral:tRNA from 1 species
GGAGAGAUGGCUCAGUGGUUAAGAGCACUUGUUCUUGCAGAGGACUGGGUUCAAGUCCCAGUCCCCACA